CCCCGCGUUGUAUCAUUGUUUACGUCACACGGAGAGAGAGUUACAUUGUUUUAUAAAAUGGCAUGAAAACGAUUGUAAUGUUUUUGCUACAUUUGUGUAUUUGUAUGAAUGGAAAGCGAAUUGUAAACAUUAUUAUACAGUGCAAUCUCAUUGUAAAUAAUAAUUUGUUCUUUAACUGACUUGCCUAGUUAAAUAAAGGUUAAAUACAAAUAAAUAAAAUACAUCUCUGGUGUCAUCUACCUAUGAUGCACGUAGCAUUUAGCGGCAUCGGUAAAUCAUAUUUUUACAAUCGUAGCUAUUUUAAUGCGUACUUGCGCUUAAAUUUGUUGGUUUUUGUAUGGAAUAAGACGUCUGUUAAGUUGUGAGAAAGUAGCAUGCUACAGUAGUUUAUUUUCGGUUCCAGUGUAUGGCACAGUUUUUUGUAAUAGUAUCAGUCAUGUAUUAGCUAAUGGAUGUAUUUUGUUAGCUAGUUUAAUGGUGUAAAAAUCGUGAUAUUUCCCUUGCAUUUCAAUCUACACAGUCAUAUGGGUCUGCAAUAUUAGGUAGGCUAUUCAAUUCCCUUGACAUUCUGCAAGCAUGAAUACUUUACAAUAAUGGAAGAUAUGCAUUGUGUUAAUCUUACUAUUGUCCAUGUAGAUUUUUUUAUUACAUAAAAAAAAAAAAUAACUAGACAAGUCAGUUAAGAACACAUUCUUAGAUCUGACAUGCGUUUAAAUUUUACACAACUUUACAUGCAUGCUUUCCAUAAAUGCAAUGUGUGCAUGCUUUGCACAGAUGAAAAACCUUCCAUGAUGACCCUCUUCCUGUAUUAGUCAUAUAGGCCUAUGGAUUCUUUGUCCUAUAGCUACAUAACUAAAGCUUGUAGCUCACUAAAUCUAGUAGCUGUAGCCAUGCUGCUGCUUGGCUAUAGAUUUGCUCUCAUGGUGCUGAGAAUGCUUAGUACUGUAGCUGUCACUUAUGUAUUCUCUGUAUGUAUUAUGUAUGAACCCUUGGACGUACAGGUACCUCCAGCAUGCCCUCCUGCCUCACAUUUGGCCCCUGUCCCUCAUGAUCUACCUCAGGUCCUCUUGUAAUCCACCCCAUUCUUCUGUCUGUGCCUUGGUAGGGCGAAGACCUGCCUCGAUAGCAUGCCUCAGAAAGUGCUGAGCUGGUGAUUCCGGAGAGCUGGCAGGCAACUCUCAACAGGAAGCAGCAGCAGUGGAUUGACCGGACGCUGUUUACCAAUAGCUGCCUACGGAGCUCACAGUUCAUCACUGUCCUUGCCCCUGUGGGCAAAAAACAGAAGAGGGCGAUGUCCUUCUUGCCUCCAAGGCCUGCCUCAGAAAGUUCUGGGAUGAGUUUUUCUAUAAUAAAUUAGAAGCUUAGAAAUGCGCUUGCGGGCAACUCUCAACAAGCAUCAGCAGCGGUGGAUUGGCCGGACGCUGUUUACCAGGAGCAGCAUGGGAAGUUCAUAAUUCAUCACAGACUUGCUUGAGACACCAGACUAACGACGGUCCAGUGGUUGCUUGUCUAACCCAUGCUGACAAGAGACAUUUAAGUGUGACAUUUUGUAACUAAUCAGCAUUUCACUCAAAUGUGUAGCAUGCAUAUGCAAUGCUUAAAAUUGUCUACUACAAAUGGACAGUUAUACAGACACUCCUGUUAUGUCUAUGGCUUCCUCUAACUUCGAAAUGUUAAUUGUAAACUGAAAAUAACUAUGUUUUAAGUUCUGCUGAGUGGAAGAUUGUAGAACAGUGGCUGGCGGAGAUGAGAGACGCUAAGGGGCGAGGUGCUGAAGGAAACUGAGCCACUCGUAGGGUGGUCGUGAAACAAUCCUUUUGUAUAUACACUGAACAAAAAAUAUAAACGCAGCAUGUAAAGUGUUGGUCCCAUGUUUCAUGAGCUGAAAUAAAAAAUCCCAGAAAUGUUCCAUACACACAAAAACAUAUUUCUCUCAAAUUUUGUACACAAAUUUGUUUACAUCCAUUUUAGUGAGUAUUUCUCCUUUGCCAAGAUAAUCCAGCCAACUGGUGUGGCAUAUCAAGAAGCUGAGGACUAUUUCUGUCUGUAAUAAAAGCCCUUUUGUGGGGUAAAAACUCAUUAUGAUUGGCUGUGCCUGGCUCCCCAGUGGGUGGGCCUAUGCAUUCCCAAGCCCACCCAUGGCUGCACCCCUGUCCAGUCGUGAAAUCUAUAGAUUGGAGCCUGAUGAAUUUAUUGAAUUGACAUUUCCUGAUAUGAACUGUAACUCAGUACAAUCUUUGGAAUUGUUGUAUGUUGCGUUUUAGAUUUUUGUUCAGUAUUGUUCACAGUUCAACUUGUUCCCCUCUACCAAGACAGUGUAGAGGCUUGUGUGUUUGGAGGACCCUCUGAGCUAUAUUGUCUAUAGCCUAUGACAAACUGCUCUGAGGUGACUCCCCAGCCCAACAUCGGUUAUUUUUUCAAUAUGGGUCUAACCAAUACUAACAAUUAUUUAUUCCAAAGGAACAGACAUUUGGACAUUGCUGAAAUGUGUUUUAAGUUUGACAUUUGUUACUAAUUUGUAGUUCACUAAAAUGUGGGGUGUGAAUAUAAGCAUUGCUUACAAUUGUCUUCUACAAAGGGACAGUUAUACAGACUCUCCUGUCAUUUCUAUGGUCCCCUCUUCAAAACAUUAAUUGUUUUAAGUGCAAAAUAUAUGAGUACAAGAGACACGGUAAGAGUACAAGAGACAAGAGACACGGUAAAGGUUUAUUUUACUUGAUUAUACAUUCAAAAUGGGAAAAGGAUAUGUUUAAAGAAUAUGUAAAAAAAAAACUCUAAAUGAAAAGAAAUACAUAUAAGAAUUUGUGUGAGGCAGGGGCAAUAGGGAGGGGGUGGGAAAGGGAUAUAUCGACAAUGUAGGAAAUUGAAAUAUGAACUGUAAAAAAAAGUCAUGAGUUGAGUAGAAUACAAUGACAUCUCAUUUUCUGUCUACUACAAAGGGACGGUUUCACCUUUAACUUGUAUGUAUUGUAAUUUAGUCCAUCUUCUAUCACCUUAACUUGCACAGUAGGUAUACAGGGGACAUACAGACAGUGGAGCAAUUGUGCUGUGAUGGUUUGGGGCACACGCUAUCCUGUCAUUUCUUUCACUGUGUUGUUUUCCACAUUUUGUACAGGUGUGACAAGCUUCUUUUCAACAGGAGCCAUUUACUUUCCAAUUUGUGUUUGCUGGUGAUUGUAUUUCAAAUAUUGGGAAAGGCCUGUUUUAGCUACGUUCUGUUCACUGAACAAUUUUCUGCACGUUCCCAGCUGUAGGUGAUUGUGAUUGGGCUACACACAAUCAACAGCGAGGCAAAAAUAUUAAAUAAGCUAUUGAUCCUCUGUGGCUAAAUUAUAGGCCUACUCGUGGAGUAGUCUUCUGAAUUAUUUCACUUAUUUUUGAACAGGCAGCAGUAAUUCUAUAACUUUGUCAAAAGUGUUUAAAUGUAUCAGGGGUGCUGGGAUACAUCCAGCACCCUUCCCGCGGCUAUGAUUCUAUAAGUAAAUAAAUUAUGAACUGUAAUGCUGGAGAGAUGAGAGUUGCAGGCUCAUGUUCAUCAGAGCAGAGAGAGGGACAGAGAUCAUAAAAAGUUAUGCGAGAGAUACAGGUGUGCUUCUCUCUCUCACCACAGCAAAGGCCACGCAUUGGUCUAUAGGCUACAUGUUUCGCAAACAAUAAACCCGGGCCGGCCCGACUCAAAUCAA